CUGCACCGCAUUCUCUGCCUCUCUCUAUCGUUGUCAUCCUCCCCGGCCUCCUCCGCCUCGCGCCGUCGCCGGCCGGGGGCAGCAAAUCCGGUGCCAACGCUGGCGGAUUUGGCCCUCCCGCGGCUAGAUCGGGAUGGAAAUAGUGGCGAUGCCAACGGUGUCGGGCGUGGCGCCAACCCCUCCGCCCCGCAGCUCCUCCGCCGGCGGACGCACGAAGCGGAGAAGGAGGCGCGGUGCGAUGAGACUGAGGAGAGAGCGAGAGUGAGGCGAGGGUGCAAGGGGAAACUUGGGGGAACGACGCCAUGCCCACGAGCUCCACAUGCGCUCAACGCGGCGCCUGGCUGCGACUCCCCACAAAAAAGUUGGCAAGGCGCAGAGAGAGCCGCGUUCCAUCGUGGGGGGACGACGUGGACGGAAAAGCAAACGGCCAUCGCUAGGGAUACUCUCUCCAGGGUCACGCAUUUAACAUGCCCUAAUAAGCUAUAG
rnacentral:lncRNA from 2 species